rnacentral:rRNA from 1 species
GAUGAACGCUAGCGGCAGGCCUAACACAUGCAAGUCGAGGGGCAGCAUUUCCAGCUUGCUGGAAGAUGGCGACCGGCGCACGGGUGCGUAACACGUAUGGAACCUACCCUUGUCAGGGGGAUAGCCCGGGGAAACCCGGAUUAAUACCCCAUAGUAUUUUAGAGUCGCAUGACUUUAGGAUUAAAGAUUUAUCGGACAAGGCUGGCCCUGCGUACCAUUAGCUAGUUGGUGAGGUAAAGGCUCACCAAGGCCACGAUGGUUAGGGGCCCUGAGAGGGGGAACCCCCACACUGGUACUGAGACACGGACCAGACUCCUACGGGAGGCAGCAGUGAGGAAUAUUGGACAAUGGGCGAGAGCCUGAUCCAGCCAUGCCGCGUGCAGGAAGACAGCCCUCCGGGUUGUAAACUGCUUUUAUACGAGAAGAAUCGGUGCUACGUGUAGCGUUUUGACGGUAUCGUAUGAAUAAGGACCGGCUAACUCCG